GUCACUCGAAUACAAAUUUAGGAAGCAAGCCUCAGCGCCCUCGGUGUCGAGCUGACCAAGUAAUGAAAAACGCGCACUUUGAAAACGUUCAAAUCAUCCAAUGAGAGUGCGAUGCCGUUAGCUGGCAUCAGCUGGUUUUGUGGUGUGCAUACGUGCGAUUAAAAAAGCCGCUGCUAUGAAAGUGUAAAAUCGUUCAGGGAAAAAAGCCGGACUGAGGCAUUUCUUACAUCUCUCGAACAUGGAGAAACCACGCCGUAUUGCAUAUCGAUGUAAAUAUCCAAACUGCGGAAAUGUGUUCUACAAGGGUGGUGGUAAUGACCUUAGAUUUUACCAUUUUCCAAGAAAUUUGGAAAUGGAGGAACUUUGGAGAUAAAUUUGUAAAAUUGAUGCAAGUAAACCGUGUAAGUCCUUAUACUUGUGUAAAAAUCAUUUUCACUCGACAGAUUUUCAUGAUCCAUUACAUCGAAAUAGACUGUUGCCUAAUGUGGUCCCAAAGGAAUAUGUCUCCAAAGAGUCCAUGAGCAGUCAAGUGGUUGCAGCGGAAAUUUACACUCAGUUGCUGUGGAAUCCGUAGCUAGUUGCUCAUUUUCUGCUGAAACAGACUUUUCUACCGUAGAAGAAAGUAACGUUUGCUGAGAGGAAAUUGCUUCAGAGUUGUAGUUCGCCUCCUCGUGGUGCACCUUGAGUAACGCUAAAUGAAUUGGCACAUAUCGAUAUUGACAGAAAUAUCUCGUCAAGUACGCAGUUGUUCAUUUUCCUUACAACACAAUCUGACAGGAGGGAUGAUAACCCUAGAAGCUUCACAUUGUGAGUUACAUAUCUUUCUCUUAUUAUUAUUGUAUCUAAUAUUUGUA